CCGGAACAACUCUCAUUCGCCAUCAGUCAGCCCCACAGUCAAGACAUGCGACCGGCCACAAUAUUAAUGGGUACGCUUCUCUUUUUGGUGCCUGGCGUUCCCGCGGAAAGCCAUACUGGCGCGCUUAGAUUGGCCUACAAUCCCAGCAAUGGCAGUUGGUUUUUCCUGCCCCACGGAAGACCCCAAAAUGUUGGCAUAAACGUACAGAAGGCCUACUUUGCGCAUCAAAGUUUGGGCGGUUUUUCGGGAGUUUGCUUUUCAAAUAAUAUUUGGUUCAAUUGUCGGACAGGUUUAAUGAUAUGGGAGAACAAAUGAUGAACAAAUACAAUUCGCAAAGUUCAUUCAGGCACUUAUUGCA